AGAGUUUGAUCAUGGCUCAGGAUGAACGCUGGCGGCGUGCUUAACACAUGCAAGUCGAACGAAGCACUUUAUUUGAUUUCUUCGGAAUGAAGAUUUUGUGACUGAGUGGCGGACGGGUGAGUAACGCGUGGGUAACCUGCCUCAUACAGGGGGAUAACAGUUGGAAACGACUGCUAAUACCGCAUAAGCGCACAGGGUCGCAUGACCUGGUGUGAAAAACUCCGGUGGUAUGAGAUGGACCCGCGUCUGAUUAGCCAGUUGGUGGGGUAACGGCCUACCAAAGCGACGACCAGUAGCCGACCUGAGAGGGUGACCGGCCACAUUGGGACUGAGACACGGCCCAAACUCCUACGGGAGGCAGCAGUGGGGAAUAUUGCACAAUGGGGGAAACCCUGAUGCAGCGACGCCGCGUGAGCGAAGAAGUAUUUCGGUAUGUAAAGCUCUAUCAGCAGGGAAGAAGAAAUGACGGUACCUGACUAAGAAGCACCGGCUAAAUACGUGCCAGCAGCCGCGGUAAUACGUAUGGUGCAAGCGUUAUCCGGAUUUACUGGGUGUAAAGGGAGCGCAGGCGGUACGGCAAGUCUGAUGUGAAAGCCCGGGGCUCAACCCCGGUACUGCAUUGGAAACUGUCGGACUAGAGUGUCGGAGGGGUAAGUGGAAUUCCUAGUGUAGCGGUGAAAUGCGUAGAUAUUAGGAGGAACACCAGUGGCGAAGGCGGCUUACUGGACGAUUACUGACGCUGAGGCUCGAAAGCGCGGGGAGCAAACAGGAUUAGAUACCCUGGUAGCCCACGCUGUAAACGAUGAAUACUAGGUGUCGGGGAGCAUUGCUCUUCGGUGCCGCAGCAAACGCAAUAAGUAUUCCACCUGGGGAGUACGUUCGCAAGAAUGAAACUCAAAGGAAUUGACGGGGACCCGCACAAGCGGUGGAGCAUGUGGUUUAAUUCGAAGCAACGCGAAGAACCUUACCAAGUCUUGACAUCCCGAUGACAGAACACGUAAUGUGUUUUCUCUUCGGAGCAUCGGUGACAGGUGGUGCAUGGUUGUCGUCAGCUCGUGUCGUGAGAUGUUGGGUUAAGUCCCGCAACGAACGCAACCCCUAUUCUUAGUAGCCAGCGGUUCGGCCGGGCACUCUAGGGAGACUGCCAGGGAUAACCUGGAGGAAGGUGGGGAUGACGUCAAAUCAUCAUGCCCCUUAUGACUUGGGCUACACACGUGCUACAAUGGCGUAAACAAAGGGAAGCGAGCCUGCGAGGGGGAGCAAAUCUCAAAAAUAACGUCUCAGUUCGGACUGCAGUCUGCAACUCGACUGCACGAAGCUGGAAUCGCUAGUAAUCGCGAAUCAGAAUGUCGCGGUGAAUACGUUCCCGGGUCUUGUACACACCGCCCGUCACACCAUGGGAGUUGGUAAUGCCCGAAGUCAGUGACCUAACCGCAAGGAGGGAGCUGCCGAAGGCAGGAUCGAUAACUGGGGCGAAGUCGUAACAAGGUA
rnacentral:rRNA from 1 species